CUCAGCUGUUCCUCUAAGCAGCGGCUCUUUCCACCCAUCUGGAGAUUUAGAUUCUAGAGUUCGGUAUCACAUUUGCCUGCAGAUUUGUUAAGAAUGCAGGCAGGGAAGACGGAUUCUGUUCAAUGACCCCCUUCAAGACUCCAGUGAAGUUCAGGAUCUGGCAGAGGGGAUGGAUUUAUAUAGAAGUGGGGCAACUGACACACAGAGGUAUUAAGCCCAAGGUCACUCUGUCCAUGAAUGAUGAAGCCAGUUGUGAACAGCCUACAACCAGAGCCUGGGCUCUUAAAUAUCAGGCUUUGCUGGCUUUGAUGAGUAGAUCUUUAUAUGAAGGCAAGU
rnacentral:lncRNA from 1 species